rnacentral:misc_RNA from 1 species
GAAAUGCGAUAAGUAAUGUGAAUUGCAGAAUUCAGUGAAUCAUCGAAUCUUUGAACGCACAUUGCGCCCCGUGGUAUUCCGCGGGGCAUGCCUGUUCGAGCGUCAGUACAACACUCAAGCUCUGCUUGGUCUUGGGCCGCGUCCGUCUGGACCGGCCUUAAAAUCAGUGGCGGUGCCAUCGUGCUCUAAGCGUAGUAAUACUCCUCGCUACAGAGUCUCGGUGCGUGCUGGCCAGCAACCCCCAACUUUCUAAGUUUGACCUCGGAUCAGGUAGGGAUACCCGCUGAACUUAA